rnacentral:rRNA from 1 species
UACGUAGGGUGCAAGCGUUAAUCGGAAUUACCGGGCGUAAAGCGUGCGCAGGCGGCUUUGCAAGACAGAUGUGAAAUCCCCGGGCUUAACCUGGGAACUGCAUUUGUGACUACAUGGCUGGAGUGCGGCAGAGGGGGAUGGAAUUCCGCGUGUAGCAGUGAAAUGCGUAGAUAUGCGGAGGAACACCGAUGGCGAAGGCAAUCCCCUGGGCCUGCACUGACGCUCAUGCACGAAAGCGUGGGGAGCAAACAGG